UGACAACAGCACCAUACCACAGCCAAGAGAAGAUUAUCUUCAGCCAGAAUCCUCCAAUAACGGCACGUCUGGGCUGCCUGCAGAAGGUCCCUGGGUUCCAGGAAUGACAGCACGUACAGUGCCAGCUGUAAGAAAAGGAAGGGAGGUUUCUAAAUUGCUUUUGAAAGGAAAAGUGAAGUAACUCCAAGCAUUAUCACACAUCAGAGGCUGAAAUACAGAAAAUUGAAACAAUGAAUUAUUAAAUGAUCUCAGAAACUUAACAGAGCUACAGCUUGUUCCAGUGGGCACAUGAGAAGUACAGCAAUCAUCUUAAAUAACUAAAUCCAUACAGAUCACAUCAAAAAUGUAUAUUAUUUGCAAGAGACUAGAUGUCAGCUGAAAUCACUGGCUAUUAUGCUUUUUUAAAAUGUCAUCCGUAUUACUUUGAACCGUUGCCAGAUGUACUAAAAUAAUUAUGCCUGUGAUAUUUUAUCUAAUAAAAGUUGCUCUGAGAGUUUAACCAG
rnacentral:lncRNA from 1 species